rnacentral:lncRNA from 1 species
AAGAAAAAAACUAUAAAACUAAAUUCUCAACCAACUUCAUAUUAAAAAAAUAAAAUCAACAAAAACAAUUCUUAAAAACACACAAAAAAUGAAAAAAAAAAUGAAAAAAGAAGAAGAUAAUUUUGGAAAAGCAAAAGCAAAAUAAAAUGAAAAAAAAUAGAAAAAAAAACAUGUGGGGAAAGUUAAAGCUAAAUUCUCAACCAGGUCAAUAUUAAAA